rnacentral:rRNA from 1 species
GAACGCUGGCGGCAUGCUUUACACAUGCAAGUCGAACGGUAACAGGGAGCUUGCUCCGCUGACGAGUGGCGAACGGGUGAGUAAUGCAUCGGAACGUGCCCAGUCGUGGGGGAUAACGCAGCGAAAGCUGUGCUAAUACCGCAUACGAUCUAUGGAUGAAAGCGGGGGACCGUAAGGCCUCGCGCGAUUGGAGCGGCCGAUGUCAGAUUAGCUAGUUGGUGGGGUAAAGGCCCACCAAGGCGACGAUCUGUAGCUGGUCUGAGAGGACGACCAGCCACACUGGAACUGAGACACGGUCCAGACUCCUACGGGAGGCAGCAGUGGGGAAUUUUGGACAAUGGGCGCAAGCCUGAUCCAGCAAUGCCGCGUGCAGGAAGAAGGCCUUCGGGUUGUAAACUGCUUUUGUACGGAACGAAACGGUCUGGGCUAAUACCCUGGGCUAAUGACGGUACCGUAAGAAUAAGCACCGGCUAACUACGUG